CAAAGUUUUUCAACCUAGAAGCAAACAAUGACAUACACAUAUAAUGAAAUAUGUUCUCAAAGAAUAAACACAUGGAAAGAGUCACUUCUAGGAUUCACACAAAAUUUCUUGUCAUCAAUAUUGAGUUUGCUUCAUGGUUUAUAACAUUCAUCUUAAUGGAGCACCAAGUUGGCAUUCUACUGGAGACAUUUAUUUAUUUUUAGUUGAUGUUUAUAUUGGAAGGAUGAUUUAGUGUCUGCCUGUUUUUGUAUCACUGACAUAGCAUUUGACAAGCAACCUUUCACAAACUAAGCGAAUAUGAU
rnacentral:lncRNA from 1 species